UACGUAGGCGGAAAAUUAAGUCAGUAGUGAAAUCCUGCAGCUUAACUGUAGAACUGUUAUUGAUACUGGUAUUCUUGAAUAUAGUUGAGGUAGGCGGAAUGUGUAAUGUAGCGGUGAAAUGCUUAGAUAUUACACAGAACACCGAUUGCGAAGGCAGCUUACUAAGCUAUGAUUGACGCUGAGGUACGAAAGCGUGGGGAGCGAACAGGAUUAGAUACCCUGGUAGUCC
rnacentral:rRNA from 1 species